UGGGGAAUCUUGCGCAAUGGGCGAAAGCCUGACGCAGCAACGCCGCGUGAGCGAAGACGGCCUUCGGGUUGUAAAGCUCUGUCAGGAGGGACGAAGCCACUCGGGUGAAUAGCCCAGAGGGUGACGGUACCUCCAGAGGAAGCCCCGGCUAACUACGUGCCAGCAGCCGCGGUAAUACGUAGGGGGCGAGCGUUGUCCGGAAUCAUUGGGCGUAAAGCGCGUGUAGGCGGCUUGGCAAGUCCGGUGUGAAAGCUCGAGGCUCAACCUCGAGUCUGCAUCGGAAACUGCUUUGCUAGAGUCCGGAAGAGGAGACUGGAAUUCCUGGUGUAGCGGUGAAAUGCGCAGAUAUCAGGAAGAACACCGGUGGCGAAGGCGGGUCUCUGGGACGGUACUGACGCUGAGACGCGAAAGCGUGGGGAGCAAACA
rnacentral:rRNA from 1 species